GGUGUAUCACAUGAAAUCUUUCAAACAAAUCUCCAUGAAAAAAAUAGUAGCUAUCAAAUAAUUAAAAAUUUACUGAUGAGUUGACCCAUCAUUUUUCACUUCUUCAAGAAUAAAUUUGAUCUUUCGUAGUGUGCAUUCUACAUGCACUUGCUUACACAAAGAAAACAAAAUGAUGAGCUACAGGUUCAAUGAACAACAGAAUCAAGCACCACAAACAAAUUAUAACAGGGAAUGAGAAGAGGAAAACAGGAUUAGAAAUGCACACAGAACGUAA
rnacentral:misc_RNA from 1 species